AACGCACAUUGCGCCCCUUGGUAUUCCAUGGGGCAUGCCUGUUCGAGCGUCAUUUUAAAUCUCAAGCACUGCUUGGUGUUGGGUGUUUGUCCCGCCUACCGCGCGUGGACUCGCCUUAAAGGCAUUGGCAGCCGGUCACAUUGGCUCGGAGCGCAGCAGAUGUAGCGCGUCGAAGCCGGUAGUGGUGGCAUCCAGAAGCUUUUUCUUCUAAGUUUGACCUCGGAUCAGGUAGGGAUACCCGCUGAACUUAA
rnacentral:misc_RNA from 1 species